CCCUUAGAUGUUCUGGGCCGCACGCGCGCUACACUGACGAAUGCAACGAGCUUAUAACCUUGGCCGAAAGGUCUGGGUAAUCUCCAAAUUUCGUCGUGAUGGGGAUAGAUUAUUGCAAUUAUUAAUCUUCAACGAGGAAUGCCUAGUAAGCGCAAGUCAUCAGCUUGCGUUGAUUACGUCCCUGCCCUUUGUACACACCGCCCGUCGCACCUACCGAUUGAAUGGUCCGGUGAAAUCUCGGGACGGCGGCUUGGUCGCUUGCGUCCGACUGCUGAAACUUGAUUAAACCAUNUNAUUUAUNGGAAGGUGAANUCGUANCA
rnacentral:rRNA from 1 species